rnacentral:rRNA from 1 species
GAUUAACGCUAGCGGCAGGCAUAAUACAUGCAAGUUGAACGGGAUUAGUUUAGCAAUAGACUAUGAGAGUGGCGCACGGGUGCGUAACACGUAUGCAACCUGCCCUUGACUGGAGAAUAGCCUCUCGAAAGAGAGAUUAAUGUUCCAUAACAACAUGAUAGAGCAUUCUAUAUUUAUUAAAGCCCCGGCGGUAAAUGAUGGGCAUGCGGUUGAUUAGCUAGUUGGUGAGGUAACGGCUCACCAAGGCGACGAUCAAUAGGGGGUCUGAGAGGAUGUCCCCCCACACUGGUACUGAGACACGGACCAGACUCCUACGGGAGGCAGCAGUAGGGAAUAUUGGUCAAUGGAGGCAACUCUGAACCAGCCAUGCCGCGUGCAGGAAGACUGCCCUAUGGGUUGUAAACUGCUUUUGUACGGGAAGAAACCUUCGAAUGCGUUCGAAGUUGACGGUACCGUGAGAAUAAGGAUCGGCUAACUUCGUGCCAGCCGCCGCGGUAACAC